AACGAACGCUGGCGGCAUGCCUAACACAUGCAAGUCGAACGAGACCUUCGGGUCUAGUGGCGCACGGGUGCGUAACGCGUGGGAACCUGCCCUUAGGUUCGGAAUAACUCCCCGAAAGGGGUCCUAAUACCGGAUAAUGUCUUCGGACCAAAGAUUUAUCGCCUUUGGAUGGGCCCGCGUUGGAUUAGCUAGUUGGUAGGGUACAAGCCUACCAAGGCGACGAUCCAUAGCUGGUCGGUGAGGAUGAUCAGCCACACUGGGACUGAGACACGGCCCAGACCCCUACGGGAGGCAGCAGUGGGGAAUAUUGGACGAUGGGCGAAAGCCUGAUCCAGCAAUGCCGCGUGAGUGAUGAAGGCCUUAGGGUUGUAAAGCUCUUUUACCCGGGAUGAUAAUGACAGUACCGGGAGAAUAAGCUCCGGCUAACUCCGUG
rnacentral:rRNA from 1 species